ACUCGAGUGGCGAACGGGUGAGUAACACGUGGGUGAUCUGCCCUGCACUUCGGGAUAAGCCUGGGAAACUGGGUCUAAUACCGGAUAGGACGAUGGUUUGGAUGCCAUUGUGGAAAGUUUUUCGGUGUGGGAUGAGCUCGCGGCCUAUCAGCUUGUUGGUGGGGUAAUGGCCUACCAAGGCGUCGACGGGUAGCCGGCCUGAGAGGGUGUACGGCCACAUUGGGACUGAGACACGGCCCAG
rnacentral:rRNA from 1 species